UGCCAGCCGCCGCGGUAAUACGGAGGGUGCAAGCGUUGUUCGGAAUUAUUGGGCGUAAAGCGCGUGUAGGCGGUUCGUUAAGUCUGAUGUGAAAGCCCGGGGCUCAACCCCGGAACUGCCUUUCAUACUGGCGAUCUGGAGUUCGAGAGAGGUGAGUGGAAUUCCGAGUGUAGAGGUGAAAUUCGUAGAUAUUCGGAGGAACACCAGUGGCGAAGGCGGCUUUCUGGACCGAUACUGACGCUGACCCUGAGGGACGAAAGCUAGGAUAGCGAACAGGAUUAGAUA
rnacentral:rRNA from 1 species